UGGUACAAUACUUUCGUCAGAUCCGUCUUGGUGGAAACCCGAUGCAGGUGCUAUUAGUGAAAGGAUUGGAGACUGGUUCUAGCAGUGGUUGGUUUGUUUGAGGAAUUCCUGGUGCUCGUGAUUAGUAAAGGGUUUCAGCCAGGAAAUUAGAUAUUUUGAGAAGCUUCUACAAGAUCUUGAUAUCAUUUGUGUUCUAUCCCUUGAUCCUGUGCUUGAGAAGGUGCUUCCCUAAAUUGCACAACUCCGAAAACUUGUACGUGAUUUGAUUUUCUUCUGGUGGUCACACUUACAUCCUUCAAGGAUCAUCCUUAUCAGUUAUUACAGUAAAUUUGUCGAUUUAGCGUUGUAAUUGCUAUUUGCACUAUUAGGAGUAUCUCCUGGAAAAAAAAUCUUCUAUAGACAAACGUGACUAAUGUAUGUGUGUUGUGUUAGAUAUAGAUUUGGUUAUGAGUUACUGCUUUUUGUGGUCAUGGGGAAAUUAAUCAUUCCAGGAUCUCAACAUUGUAGUAUUUUGCACAAAUUUGUGAAGUUCAACGCCUUAGUGUCAUGGCUCG